GAGAGGGUUUGUGACUUCGGGAAACACUAAAUGGAAACACGCUUCCGAAGAUUGUUGACAUAAACGAUUCUGCCUUCCCCAGUCUUCGUCGAGUCUUGGCAGUUUUUGUUAUAAGCAAACAUGACAUUGACAAUCGUUUGUUAAACUUGACAAACAGUGAGACAGAAUCCAAAACCAACUAUGGCCACUUCAAAACCCAUAUCUCCAUUCAGACUCUCCUCCCUCCUCCGAUCUCAAAAAGACCCAUCCCUUGCAUUCCAACUCUUUCUCAACCCCAACCCCACCCUUCAAAAUCGCCCAUUCCGUUAUUCCCUCCUUUCCUAUGACCUCAUUAUCACCAAACUCGGUCGUGCCAAAAUGCUCCCACAAAUGGAACAAAUUCUCCAACACCUCCACAAUGAUACUCGCCACCGCGUCCCCGAACCACUCCUCUGCCACGUCAUCGACUUCUACGCACGUGCCCGCCUCCCAUCACGUGCCAUCCAAACCUUCCUCUCCAUCCCUUCCUUCCGCUGCACGCCAACUCUUAAAUCAUUCAAUUCCCUACUCAACGCCCUCCUAACCUGCCGCCAAUUCCAAACAAUCACCCGAGUGGCUUCCCUUUUAAAUGAAUUCGGUCCGCCAAACCCCUGCACCUACAACAUCCUCAUCCGAUCCUGUUUCCUCCAAGGCCAUGCCGAUCGCGCCUUGAAACUGUUCGAUGAAAUGUGUAGCUGUGGCGUCCUCCCUGAUGCGGUCACAUUCGGGACCUUAAUCCAUGGGCUGUGUAAGAAUUCAAUGAUGCAUAAGGCUUUUGAAAUGAAAAAAUUGAUGAUUGAGGAUUUUAAGUUGAAGCCAUGUGUUUCUGUUUACACUAACUUGAUUAAAGGUGUUUGCGAGAUUGGGGAACUUGAUUGGGCAUUUACGAUCAAGGAUGAGAUGGAUAGGAACAAAUUGAGAUCAGAUGCUGUUGUUUAUAACACUCUGAUUAACGCGCUUUUUAAGGCAGGGAGAAAGGAAGAGUCUUUAAGGGUUUUGGAGGAAAUGAAGGAGAGUGGCUGCAAUUGGAAUUCGGUUACUUGUAAUGUAAUGAUUGGGGAGUUUUGUAGAGAAAAGAAUUUCAAAGAAGCUUAUAGGAUUUUGGAUGGUGUGGAAGGUGUGAAGCCUGAUGUUUUUGGUUACAAUGUGGUGAUUGGUUGUCUGUGUAGAGAAGGGAAAUGGAAUGAAGCAAAUGAUCUGUUUCAGGAUAUGUUGCGGCGAAAGUGUGUUCCCGAUGUUGUCACGUAUCGCACACUGUUUGAUGGGAUUUGUCGGUGGAUGCAGUUCCAGGAAGCUGCAUUUGUUUUAGAUGAGAUGUUGUUUAAAGGAUAUGUUCCCCAUUCUAGGAGUUUGAAUGAAUUUGUCGGUGGUUUGUGCAGGGAAGGGAACUUUGAGCUGUUGUCAACAGUUUUGAGUGGUUUGGUUAGUAGAGGAGAUUUUUGCAAUGGCAGUUUAUGGAAUGUUUUGGUUCCCAUGGUUUGCGAGCCGGAGAAGUUGGCAGCAAAACCUUUUGAAAUUUUUGAUGAUUUGGUGGCAUGAACUGUGUUUUGGUUCAAAACAUGAUUCCUGAUUUUGUAAGUAUCACAAACCACUCUUAGGUCAUUAGAUUAUAACAUCAACCAACAUACCAUUAGUCUAGCAAAUCUAACGUGGAUUAACACAUUUGCAUUUUUAAAUCUAAUAGGUAUUGAAAAUUAGGCCUUGAUAUGUCCAUGUUUGUCUUUUGGUUGCUCAUCCGACCCCCGUGUUUGCUCACCCACUCCCAAAUACACUACCGGAAACUAGGAUCUAGUAGUGUAUUUUACUCAAUUUUACGCCACUAGAAGCUAGGAUCCGGUAAAAAGCCGAAAAAACGAGCAAACAUAGGGCUGGACGAACAAUCACCUUUUUGUAUUUCAAAAACACAAGGAUCCUUCGCGACCCAAUUUCGGAAACAUGCAAAACUUGGCUACCCGACUCGAAGAUAGGAUGCAGAUCUCACUCAUCGAUCUUUAAUCUCCUCAUUCUCUUGUUUCUUUGCUCGUUGCUCUCACGCUUCGAUCUUAUUCUCGCUGCUCUCAUGCUUUGAUCUUGCUCUCACAUUUUGCUCUCGCUAGUGCUGUUCCUUUCAUCUUCUCCAUCUUGUUUCUUCAACUCAGUAUGCAGGUACAAUUGUUGUUAGUCAGUUGUUGUUGAGUUCCUUUGCUACAAAGUUACUUGCAAGAUAAGGGGUUAAAACUAUUAUGGAUGGAAUAGUUUUGCAUUUUCAUUGGUAGAUUCAAGUCGAGGCAGAUGUUGUGGAAACUGAGGUUCAGUGAGUGAGCCUGUCAAAGCUUAAGUAGCCUUUAUUUUGGUUCACUUUUCUCUGUCUCAUAUAGUUCAAUUUAUUAUCAAUAUUUUCAUUUGGGUGACUAACUUUAACUAUAUGAUCAUUGUAGGCAAUAUUCUAAUAUCUACACAGUACUGUUUAAGAUUGGAACCUAUUCUGAUCAGAAUUCAGAGAUCUCAUGUUGGUGGUGGAUUGGAAGGAAGAAAACUCGGUGGAUAGUGAUGAGUGGUUGGAAUCCCUACAAAGAAGGUGCCCGUUGGUGGGAAGCACUUGUAACAAUUUUGACGCUCAAGUCAAGUAUAUGAUUGAGGUGGAUGGGAUACAUAAAAAAUAACAUACUUUAUUAUGUCUUGAUGUGAGGUUUAUAUAACAUGAGAGAGACGGUGUUGGGCUUGAGCCAGCUCAAAAGUCCAACGUGGAACAGAACCAUUGAAAUUGAAAUGAAUUUUACGGUUGCUUGAAUUAUGAAUUAGGUUAUUGAAUUUGAUAAUUGGGUUCCAAUACUAAACCAUAUUAUUGGUAAAACUCCAAAUUUUCUAAACUAUAAUUUGUGCAA